AUGAACGCUAGCUACAGGCUUAACACAUGCAAGUCGAGGGGCAGCAUGGUCUUAGCUUGCUAAGGCCGAUGGCGACCGGCGCACGGGUGAGUAACACGUAUCCAACCUGCCGUCUACUCUUGGACAGCCUUCUGAAAGGAAGAUUAAUACAAGAUGGCAUCAUGAGUCCGCAUGUUCACAUGAUUAAAGGUAUUCCGGUAGACGAUGGGGAUGCGUUCCAUUAGAUAGUAGGCGGGGUAACGGCCCACCUAGUCUUCGAUGGAUAGGGGUUCUGAGAGGAAGGUCCCCCACAUUGGAACUGAGACACGGUCCAAACUCCUACGGGAGGCAGCAGUGAGGAAUAUUGGUCAAUGGGCGAGAGUCUGAACCAGCCAAGUAGCGUGAAGGAUGACUGCCCUAUGGGUUGUAAACUUCUUUUAUAAAGGAAUAAAGUCGGGUAUGCAUACCCGUUUGCAUGUACUUUAUGAAUAAGGAUCGGCUAACUCCGUGCCAGCAGCCGCGGUAAUACGGAGGAUCCGAGCGUUAUCCGGAUUUAUUGGGUUUAAAGGGAGCGUAGAUGGAUGUUUAAGUCAGUUGUGAAAGUUUGCGGCUCAACCGUAAAAUUGCAGUUGAUACUGGAUAUCUUGAGUGCAGUUGAGGCAGGCGGAAUUCGUGGUGUAGCGGUGAAAUGCUUAGAUAUCACGAAGAACUCCGAUUGCGAAGGCAGCCUGCUAAGCUGCAACUGACAUUGAGGCUCGAAAGUGUGGGUAUCAAACAGGAUUAGAUACCCUGGUAGUCCACGCCGUAAACGAUGAAUACUAGGUGUCGGGGAGCAUUGCUCUUCGGUGCCGCAGCAAACGCAAUAAGUAUUCCACCUGGGGAGUACGCCGGCAACGGUGAAACUCAAAGGAAUUGACGGGGGCCCGCACAAGCGGAGGAACAUGUGGUUUAAUUCGAUGAUACGCGAGGAACCUUACCCGGGCUUAAAUUGCAGAUGAAUUACGGUGAAAGCCGUAAGCCGCAAGGCAUCUGUGAAGGUGCUGCAUGGUUGUCGUCAGCUCGUGCCGUGAGGUGUCGGCUUAAGUGCCAUAACGAGCGCAACCCUUGUUGUCAGUUACUAACAGGUUCUGCUGAGGACUCUGACAAGACUGCCAUCGUAAGAUGUGAGGAAGGUGGGGAUGACGUCAAAUCAGCACGGCCCUUACGUCCGGGGCUACACACGUGUUACAAUGGGGGGUACAGAGGGCCGCUACCACGCGAGUGGAUGCCAAUCCCAAAAACCUCUCUCAGUUCGGACUGGAGUCUGCAACCCGACUCCACGAAGCUGGAUUCGCUAGUAAUCGCGCAUCAGCCACGGCGCGGUGAAUACGUUCCCGGGCCUUGUACACACCGCCCGUCAAGCCAUGGGAGCCGGGGGUACCUGAAGUGCGUAACCGCGAGGAGCGCCCUAGGGUAAAACUGGUGACUGGGGCU
rnacentral:rRNA from 1 species